UGCUUUUAAUGAGUUUCAGACGGAACAUUUUCUCCAACAUGAAAAUGCUGUAAUAGCUCAAAGAACGCAGCGCCGACGAGUAACGUGAAUGUGUUUAGAGUAAUAACUGGUUAUCUGUUGUUGCAUUGCUGGUGAGGUCGCCAGGUACCCCCCCCCUAACCCCACCACCCCCCCACCGAACCCGCUGACAGAUUUCCUGUUCUGUUAUUAUCUAAUCAGGAGUGAAACCUGAGAGACGCACCGGCUGUGGAGGCGAUCUGACACAGAUUAUGGAGCAGUAACUACUCACACCUACGAAAACACAAGCGAGGACCUGACAGGAAACCAGAGGGGGGAGCACAGUUGUCUCCGGUGUUCUAAGACUUCCUGAUCUACAAGGCUUGGAAGCCGCUGCUCCUCAUUGACAGAUUUGCUCUAAAAAAACAUUGAUGAAGACAUGAUGAAACGACCCCACGCCGAUCAGGUGGUCGGGUUCAUGUCAGGUACAAAGCGACUUGGUGGAAGUGGUGCUGAUGAAGGCGACCAAGUCACUGGACCUCCACCUUUCAAAAGUCCAGGGUCACCUGGACUCACCGGGUCGGCCCGGUUCAUGGAAGCAGCAGGUGCUCCUGGCAGUUCUUCCUGUGCCUUGAAGGAGGUUUAUCGCUAAAUCCCUGAACAGAGAGGGACACCAGAUAUACAAGAUGGUGCUCCGGAAUGACGUGCUGAAAGCCAAGAAGGUGGAGUCGUGCAGCCGGGGCUGCGUGACGUGUGUGAUGUUUAGCCUGCAGAGUGCCAAUGUGUGUGCGUCGCAGCCCGUCAAUCAGGCUUCCACCAGAGUUGUGUGUUCGCCACCAGGGGAUUGUGGACAAAAGGAU
ensembl:lncRNA